ACUCGGGGAACAACCCCGCAUCCCCCGCGCGUCCAGUGCCGCAGUGAGGGGUGGGCGUUGAGCGGGGUUGGCUGGGAGUGGGAGCAGAAGACUUUACUGGAGGAGGAGAUAUAAAUCGGAGCAAACCUCUAGAGCUGAUACUGAUGCCCUGUUUGCCAAGCUUUGAGGCUGGUUAUUUAUUUCCUAAAAGUUGGCCUUGAAUCAUUUAUGAUGAUGAUGACUGAGGACCAUUUAUAACCUACUUAGUCACAGGGGCUGAAAAAACACUACCCACGAUGCUCGAUUUAAUCUUCAUAAAAGCCCUAUAAUCCCUAAGUUCUUCCUGGAAGAUUUAAGAUGUUAUUGAACAGACACAUCGUGAGAGUCCGUUGCUUCCUGAGGUUUGAAGUUUUAUGGAAUCAACUCAGAAUCAGGAAAGUCUGAGAAACUGUCAAGUCAAGAGGAGCCUAAAGAGACAUGACAACUGCAUAUAAUGGACUAACCAAGAUGAGAUCCUGGAACAGAAAAGAGAUGAGGAACUCCAGCCCAGCAGGAGGUAGAGAGGCAAUAGCUUGUCCAUAGGCUGCCCCAUCAGCAUUGCAUCAUAAUCUCACUCACUCCAGAUUCACUGGAAGCUCUGAUUUGUCUGCCACACCAGUGUUUCAGAAGGGCUGGUUCGUGACAUUUCUCUGAUCCUCCUGCUUUCUCUUUUGGAUUCUCAUUGUCUCACAAAUCUUACAACUGGAUCUGCCUGGGAACAAAGAAAGAGCCCCGUUGCAUUAAGGGCUGCUGGCCAGAUCCCGCAAUAACUAGGAACUAUGCAGACCACAUCUAGGACAAUCAGUUCCUUAACGGUGGAUACCAUAUCUUUGAAUUCAUUUCUAUCUGGGUGCCAAUAUCAUCAAAGGAGCUACAUGUCAUCUUGAACGAGUUUUGGGAAGGAAGGCCAGCCAAUGUCAGAAGUUGUUUGAAUGAAAAGCUGAGACUUUUCAAAGUUGCCUGCAAUCAUACGCUGACUCAAUGAAUAAAGACAUCUAAACCAGAUUGAAUCAUGCAUUAUCAAUGCUGAAAGACAACCUACAACAAAAUGUCUUUAUUAGGA